CUCGGGGGGCUGGGGGGGGUCACAGUGUCACCCUCGGGGACCGGGCGUGGCCUCCGUGGCGGUGGGGUCACCUGUGAGGUCACAGUGCCACCCAUGGGGUCACCUGUGGGGUCACCUGUGAGGUCACAGGGUCACCCGUGAGGUCACGGGGUCACCUGUGAGGUCAUGGGGUCACCUGUGAGGUCACAGGGUCACCCAUGGGGUCACCUGUGGGGUCACCUGUGAGGUCACAGUGCCAUCCAUGGGGUCACAGGGUCACCUGUGAGGUCACCCGUGAGGUCACAGUGCCAUCCAUGGGGUCACCUGUGAAGUCACCUGUGAGGUCACAGGGUCACCCGUGAGGUCACGGGGUCACCUGUGAGGUCACGGGGUCACCUGCGAGGUCACCUGCGAGGUCACCUGCGAGGUCACAGUGCCACCCUUGGGGACCGGGCGUGGCCUCCGUGGCGGUGGGGGUCACUCACGGGGUCACCCCUGGGGUCACAGGGUCACCCACAAGGUCACAGUGCCACUCUUGGGGUCACAGUGCCACCCAUGGGGACGUGGGGUCACCCAUGGGGUUGUGGCGUCACCCACAGCGAUGUGGGGGUCACCCGUGGGGUCACGGGGUCACCUGUGGGGUCACAGUGUCACCCAUGGGGUCACAGUGUCACCUGCAGGGUCACAGGGUCACCCGUGGGGUCACGGGGGUUACCUGCAGGGUCACAGGGUCACCCACAGGGUCACAGUGUCACCCACGGGGUCACAGGGUCACAGUGCCACCCGGAGCUGUCCCCUGUGGCUGCGUUGGUGGCCGUGCUGUCACCCUUGGGGACAGGGUGACACAGAUCAUCCUGGUGGUGCCACUCUGGGGACAAAACGCGUCCAGGUGUCACCGUCCUCAUCCCGGUCACCGCCGGUGUCACCUCAGGUGCCACCAGAGCCGUUCUCGGCCUCGCCGGUGUCACAGGGACCGCGUCAGCGCUGUCCUCGAUGUCACCUGCUGCCACACGGGCCUGGCCUUGUCACCACCGGUGCCACCAGUCCUUGUCCUCUUCAGUGUCACCAUCGGUGCCACCUGUCCUUGUCCUCGCCAUGUCAUCUCCAGUGCCACCAGUCCUUGUCCUCUCCUGUGCCACCGGUGCCACCUGUGCCACCAGUCCUUGUCCUCGCUGUGUCACCUCCAGUGCCACCAGUCCUUGUCCUCGCUGUCCUGGCCCUGGUGACAUCCUCUUCCUCCUCCUCUCC
rnacentral:lncRNA from 1 species